rnacentral:lncRNA from 10 species
GCCGUCCUGGGCCCAGGGGCUGCCUGGUGGCUUCAAAAUGCAGCCAGUGUGGGUUGGGCCGGGUUGGGUCCAGGAUGUCAAACUCCCAGGAACUCUGUCUGCCUCAUGACCUGGUGUGGAGGCCACCGCUGAGCAACGUCCAGUGUGUCCUGGUCACAUCUGGGCCCGCACCACCUCACAGGCUCCCGGUGCGAAGGAGUGGGCGGCCUUUUCAGAUUCGCCAGAGCUGGUUUGCGGAAGCUCCCAGAACAGACCACGGUCUGUAACAAGCUUACUUCCUGCCCAUGAAUUUUUCCCUCGACAGGGCUUACAAUUAAGUCCAUACCCCCGCCUCCCGCCUGGCUUUCACUUCCUUGCUUUUGGAGAGAAGAUGAAUGGAAAUGUAUGACUUUGUCUGUGGUAUAAAGACAUGGAUUCAAGUUCAGGGUUUGCCAUGGACCUGCCGUGUGACCUUUGGAAGGUCCACAGAAAACAUCCUGGGGUCCUGAGCUGAAGUGUGAUGGGAGGAGUCCUCUGUAUCUCAGUCUGAUCCUGGUCUCCCUCUCGGCCAUGGUCUCACACUAGUGCUGCUGGGAAACCAUCCCUCACAUCCAGUCCUGGCAUCGGGCAGUGACUCUGGUCCAACUGUUGUCCAACUCAAGGGUUUAGCUGCUUAGAUUUUCCUAAAACUUGAAUUUCAUUUUCCUCUAGCCAUGGAAUACAGAUUAAUCCUUUACAAUUAAAAUCCAAGUUCAGAUUUUAUUUGUUGUGGUUUUUAAUUAAAAUCUCACCAGCACUUUGUGGAUUUUUUUUUUCUUAGAAAGGCAAACACACUGUGCGUAUCAGUCAGCCUGGACUGCCAUCACAAAAUACCAUAGACUGUGUGUCUUAAAACAACAGAAAUGUAUUUUCUCACAGUUCUGGAGGCUGGAAGUUCAAGGUCAAUGUUCUGGAUGAUUUGGUUUCCAGUGAGGCCUCUCUUUCUUGCUUGCAGAUGGCUGCCAUUCUUCUGUGUCCUGUAGGGAAGUUCAAACUUUUCCUCUGAAGGUUUGAACAAACUGACAAUAUGCAGACUAAUAGGAGGAAGAAAGGCAUUCAAAGUUGCUAAUGUGCAUAAGCACAAGGCCACAGAAAAUAUGAGAUUCAAAG